AAUGGGAUUCCUUAAGUAAUUGCGAAUGAACAAGGAACUGCUCAGCUUGAAAAUUGGGGCCUUCGGCCUUGAAUUGUAAUUUUGAAAUGUAUUGCCAAUGGAGGCGCAGGUGCAAGCCUAUUGAAAGAAAGCGUCAAUGAGGGUGAGAUUCCUUUUUGUCAUUUGCAGUCCUCCGUGCACGGUAUAUAUUUGACGAGUCACACUCCUCGGCAUUGGAAUGCAAAGUGGGUGGUAAAUUCCAUGUAAAGGAAAAUAUAUUAUUGAGACUGAUAGCAAACAAGUACCAUGAGGGAAAUAUGAAAAGGACUUUGAAAAGAGAAUUAAAAGAGUCUGCAUUUGCUGAACAGAAAGCAAACAGAAUUGAUCUACUUGGUGAGAUUGUUGCGUCCACUUGUGGGCGCAAUGGUUCUUGCCUUGAAUGUCAGCGUCUAUUUCUGCAAAUCAUUACCCUUGCACAUGAAUGGUAAUUUGCCUGUGGGUAUUGGAAUGCAUGUGUUUGCAAUGAUUUGUGAUUUGAUACGUGUGUCUGGUGUUCUUGUGUGUGCCUUCUUGCCAAAAAGGGGAGGGCUCUCCUCCCUGGGCACUGCAAGCCCUUGCACAUUGUUGCUGGCAAAAUGUUUCUGCUUGACCCGUCUUGA
rnacentral:rRNA from 1 species